rnacentral:rRNA from 1 species
UACGUAGGGGGCAAGCGUUGUCCGGAUUUAUUGGGCGUAAAGAGCGUGUAGGCGGCCAGGUAGGUCUGCUGUGAAAACUCGAGGCUUAACCUCGAGCUGUCGGCGGAAACCAUCUGGCUAGAGUCCGGAAGAGGAGAAUGGAAUCCCCGGUGUAGCGGUGAAAUGUGCAGAUAUCGGGAAGAACACCCGUGGCGAAGGCGGUUCUCUGGGACGGUACUGACGCUGAGACGCGAAAGCGUGGGGAGCGAACAGG